GAGACUGCCGCUGGGCCAACCCGGAGCCCAGGCUGCCUCUGCAUCUGAACAGAGCCAAGCAGCCACCAGGACCCCACCUGCGCGGCUGUGCCUUCAGCCCUGCGGAGCAACCAGCCCCUCCUCUGCUAAGCGUCUGAAGGAGCCGUGCAGGGAGCUGGGCUGGGGGCUCAGAUGAUGCCUCUGUGUGUGGCCUUAACGUGCGCAGGGAGAGCUUGGGCGAUCCUGGCUCAAGGGCUCUGCUUGGAAACGGCUUGGGGAAAUGGUUCCUCCCCCUGGAUGUAGUCACCACAUGGUAAAUUCCAUCUGAAAAAUAAAAGCCCAGCUCUUUGCUGAGUCAUAGAAGCUGGAAGCUGAUUUGCGCAAAAGCCGGACUGAGUCUUGGAUGAGCUGGGAAAGAUUCUCACAGCAGGGCGAUGGCAGAGAGGAGCAGACCGCCAGCUUUGGGACGUGAAUGAGAAGAUGUAGGGCAGCAACAGCCCUGGUGACACCUGCUGGGAGCUUGGUGUGGACAGCCCAGCCCAGCCCAGCCCAGCUGGAGAGCCCUGCCCCUGGGCGUCCCCCCGGCCAUCCAGCCUCACCAUGUCCAAGAGGGGCAUGGGCAGCCGGGCCAAGGGGGACAGGGCGGAGGCCCUGGCGGCGCUGCAGGCGGCCAACGAGGAGCUUCGAGCCAAGCUCACAGACAUCCAGAUUGAGCUGCAGCAGGAGAAGAGCAAGGUCAGCAAAGUGGAACGUGAGAAGAACCAGGAGCUGAGGCAGGUGCGCGAGCAUGAGCAGCACAAGACUGCGGUCUUGCUCACCGAGCUGAAGACGAAGCUGCACGAGGAGAAGAUGAAGGAGCUGCAGGCCGUGCGUGAGGCACUGCUUCGGCAGCACGAGGCUGAGCUGCUCAGGGUCAUCAAAAUCAAGGACAAUGAGAAUCAGCGGCUGCAGGCGCUGCUCAGUGCCCUGAGAGACGGAGGCCCCGACAAGGUCAAGACCGUGCUGCUGUCUGAGGCCAAGGAGGAGGCCAAGAAGGGCUUCGAGGUGGAGAAGGUCAAGAUGCAGCAGGAGAUCUCUGAGCUCAAGGGUGCCAAGAGGCAGGUGGAGGAGGCGCUGACGCUGGUGAUCCAGGCAGACAAGAUCAAGGCUGCGGAGAUCCGCAGCGUGUACCACCUGCACCAGGAGGAGAUCACCCGCAUCAAGAAGGAGUGCGAGCGGGAGAUCCGCAGGCUGAUGGAGGAGAUAAAAUUUAAAGACAGAGCAGUCUUCGUGCUGGAGAGAGAGUUAGGGGUUCAAGCCGGGCAUGCUCAGAGACUGCAGCUCCAAAAGGACGCUCUAGAUGAGCAGCUGUCCCAGGUCCGAGAGGCCGACCGGCACCCGGGCAGCCCCAGGCGGGAACUUCCUCAUGCAGCCGGUGCAGGAGACGCUUCAGACCACUCGGGAAGCCCUCAGUUGGAUGAAAAGGAUGCCCGGCGCUUCCAGCUUAAGAUCGCGGAGUUAAGCGCCAUCAUCCGCAAACUAGAGGACCGUAACGCCUUGCUGUCAGAGGAGAGGAAUGAGCUGUUAAAGCGUGUCAGAGAAGCCGAGAGUCAGUACAAGCCGCUGCUGGAUAAAAACAAGCGCCUCAGCCGGAAGAACGAGGAUUUGUCCCACGCUUUACGCCGCAUGGAAAACAAGUUAAAAUUCGUCACCCAGGAGAACAUAGAGAUGAGACAGAGAGCUGGAAUCAUACGGAGACCCAGUUCCUUGAAUGACCUUGAUCAAAGUCAGGAUGAGAGAGAAGUCGAUUUCUUGAAGCUUCAGAUUGUGGAGCAGCAAAACCUCAUAGAUGAGCUUUCUAAGACGCUGGAGACCGCUGGCUACGUGAAGAGCGUGUUAGAGCGGGACAAGCUGUUAAGGUUUCGGAAGCAAAGAAAGAAAAUGGCAAAACUUCCCAAGCCAGUUGUUGUGGAGACCUUCUUUGGAUACGAUGAAGAGGCCUCCCUCGAAUCGGAUGGUUCUUCCAUCUCUUACCAAACAGACAGGACGGACCAGACCCCAUGCACCCCGGACGAUGACUUGGAGGAGGGCAUGGCCAAGGAGGAGACGGAGCUGAGGUUCCGGCAGCUGACCAUGGAGUACCAGGCCCUGCAGCGCGCCUACGCCUUGCUGCAGGAGCAGGUCGGAGGGACGCUGGACGCAGAGCGAGAAGUUAAGACCCGUGAGCAGCUACAAGCUGAACUGCAGAGGGCACAGGCGCGGAUCGAGGACCUGGAGAAGGCCCUGGCGGAGCAGGGGCAGGAUAUGAAGUGGAUUGAAGAGAAGCAAGCGCUGUACCGGAGAAACCAAGAGCUUGUGGAGAAGAUCAAACAAAUGGAGGCGGAGGAGGCUCGGCUCAGACACGAGGUGCAGGAUGCCAGAGACCAAAACGAGCUGCUGGAGUUCAGGAUCCUGGAGCUUGAGGAGAGGGAGAGGAAGUCACCUGCCAUCAACUUCCACCACACACCCUUCAUGGAUGGGAAGAGCCCCCUGCAGGUGUACUGCGAGGCCGAAGGCGUGACAGACAUCGUGGUGGCGGAGCUGAUGAAGAAGCUGGACAUCCUGGGCGAUAACGCCGUAAGUAAUCUGACCAAUGAGGAGCAAGUGGUUGUCAUACAAGCCAGGACAGUCCUGACCUUGGCCGAGAAGUGGCUCCAGCAGAUUGAGGAGGCAGAGGCAGCGCUGCAGCGGAAGAUGGUGGAUCUGGAGAGCGAGAAGGAGCUGUUCAGUAAGCAGAAGGGUUACCUGGACGAGGAGCUGGACUACCGGAAGCAGGCCUUGGACCAAGCCCACAAGCACAUCCUGGAGCUGGAAGCCAUGCUGUAUGACGCCCUGCAGCAGGAGGCUGGGGCCAAGGUGGCUGAGCUGCUGUCGGACGAGGAGCGCGAGAAGCUCAAGGUGUCCGUGGAGCAGUGGAAGCGCCAGGUCAUGAGUGAGCUGCGGGAGCGGGAUGCCCAGAUCCUGCGGGAGCGCAUGGAGCUGCUGCAGCUGGCUCAGCAGAGAAUUAAAGAGUUAGAAGAAAGAAUAGAAGCUCAGAAGAGACAAAUAAAGGAACUGGAGGAAAAGCUUUCAUUCUCUGGUCAUAGCCCAUCUUGGCACCCUGACCUGCCCCACGUUGAAUUGGACCCUUUUCCUCCAGUGGGACCAAAGAGCAGGGACACAGUGGGAUGUCACGUCUCCACCCUGAAGACCCAGGGAGGUUUGGUCUCUGCACGCCCGUCCCGUGGAGGAAGAGUGAGAAGGGGCAGCUCCCAUCCACCGGGGAUGCGCCGGAACUAGAACUGGCCCCUCUGACUUCUCGGGGGCUUCUCCCGGGGAGCCCGCCCUUGGCUGCUGGACCCUGGGUCCCUUCUCCUGGACGGCAGCCCCCAUCCCAGUUCCAGGGAUGUGUGACGUUCCCUGCCAAGCAGGGGUGAGAACCGCUUCUGUGAGAAGCACCAGCCUCGGGCCCCCGCCUCUUGGUUCUCACUGUAGCUGCCCCUGGUAUCUGGAGGAAGAUUUUCAGAAACAACAGAGGCUGGGCCUGGUGACAAGAUGAGGUUGAACAUAGCAGCCUGGACGGCGACCUUCAUUCAGGGGAACCUGAGGCUCCCUGGGAUGAUCCGGGAGGGCUCCAGACACCCCAGGGGCCCCUCCGAUGCUGCGACAUCUUGCUGGGGUCCUGAGCGCUCGCUGGCCAACAGACCCCACACCCCCCCCUUGUUCAUCGUCAUCUCUGGGGGAUAGACAAGAGCCGUGGCCACCAUGGGCCUCAUGGUGCCAUCAACCCUCUGCCUCCCCCAGCCUGAGAAAGAAGGCCACAAUCCUGCCCAGGUCGCCAGCCGGGAGCACCACAGGACCGAGUGGAGGAAGCUGUGGGGAGCGUGGUGACGGGAGGUGGGACAAGGGGCAGAGCUGGCUAGGGCACGGAUGCCAGAGGCUGCCUCCAUAGUGCGUCUCCAGAAGCCACGGAGGCCUUGGGUGCCCAGAGCCACCCAGCCUGGAAGCCCCUGCACAGCCCAGACCUGUGGGCCGCAGACCCCAGUGAGGCCCAGUCCCCGGUGGACCCCGAAGCCUCACCCGAAGCCUUCGCGCACAAGGGGCAGCCCAGGGGAGGGACGUGGACGCCCCUGUGGCUCUGCUGGCGCAGGAAGGGAGCUGUGGUCCAAGUGGCUGACAGAGAGAAAGCAGUGCGUUGGUGAAAGCGACAUGAGGAGUGAUUUCCGUUCCUGCUGGGAGACCCAGGCCUCUGUCCGGGAGCUUCGUCCAGCCUGUGAAUGGAGCCUGACUGGCUGCAGAUGCAACUUCUCUGUCUUCCCACCCUUGGUGUCUAAGGUUAUUGCUUUCAGAGCUGAAUUUACAAGAGGUGUGUGUGUGCACGCUCGCUCGUGUGCACAUGCAUGCGUUUAAGCAUGUGUUCACUCAACCCGAAGAGCAGUUCACGGGAUUUAGCCAUUCUGAGGUAGGUAGAAGUUGAGGCACUGGGUAGGCAGAUGUGCAGCCAGCUGUGAAUGUACCGUGCACCAUUGUACAAAGGAAGCAGACCCCAUUGCUGGAGGGAGGAUUGGGUUGUCUGGAAGUAUUAGGUUCAUUUCAUGUUUGUGUUUGAAGAAAUGUCUGACUUUGGGGCAGAUGAAAUAGUGGCUGCGGACCAGGCAUGGUUCCCUAGGUCAAAAUCAGGGAAAAGCUAAUAGGAUCAGACAGAUAGGCUUUUUCUUUGGUGGGUGCAGGAUUUCUGCUGGGAAAUGCACUAUUAAUCACCACUUCUCCAAGAAAGACCCAUCUGUUUCUGUUGUUAUUCAAGCCACAGUUCCUGAUUUACUCGGACAAGAUACCGGGCUGGUUCAAUGUCUCUCGCUGAGCCUGACUCGGUGUUUGCGUCUCAAGUCUGAACUCUUGUUUAGUCCUCUGUGCAUAGUUUAGUCUCAGUUUAGUGACUGCAUCUUCUUGGCACAUUUAUUAUACUCAGAAUUGAAUGGCACACAAUAGCCUCUUGUUAAUGGAAGCUACCAUGGAGCUGUGGGUGAACCACUGGGUUGAAGUCUGAUGGACACAGGCAUCCAGAAAUAUGUUGUAAUUCUACCUGGCUCCAUGCCAGCCUGGCCUCCUCCUCUGGGGAAGCUCCUGGCCUGGCCCCAGUGUGUACCUGCAUGGGAGCAACAGCUGCACGGGCUGGCUGUUGAGGAUCUGAAGGUGUGCAGUGAAACUCACCCAGAUUCACUUCCCUCCUGUUUAUUUGGGUCAUCAUGGUUUUGCAUGUUGUAUAUGUUUGGAGCACUUCAUAGACCCCUAUCUACCACAGGCAUUCUUAACCACAGUUCUGUAAUAAUAAUAAGGCAAACUCUACAGCAAAGAGAAGCAUGUAAAUAUGUACCAAUUAAGUUGUAAUUGUUUAUAGGUAAAAAGCAUGUAUAUAGGAAAGGGAGAAGGUGCAAGGAACGUGAAUAACAUCCAAGCUGCGUUGCAUCCCUGCCCAUUCCCGAAAGCACACAUCUAGCAGGAACGUCCGUUCCUCUCCUUAGAUAUCACCGUUUUCACUCAUCUAUCAUAGGCACCUUCUUUAUAUCUGAUUACAAUAUCCAGCAUUUCAGAACUGGGUUUUUGCCCCAGAAAACGUAAAUAUGAGCAUUUAUCACUGACUCCUCCUGGUCCAGUGAGCAGCAGCAGAAUUCAAGUAUUUAAAAAUAAGAUGCAUUUCUAAAUUGUAGGCUACCUUCUUUUCUAAACCAAUGGGCGAGACUGAAUGUCCUCCAAGUAUGUGAGCUGUCUCACUGCUAGCUCUUCUAACAGGGGAAGUCUGUAUAAAUGCAUCAUCCCCUAAUAAUGCAAGAGAAGGGACCUUGAAAUGUUGCCAGAAAUGUUUACUGUGUAACUGAGACAUCAACAUUUAUAUCAACGUCAUCACACACUGUGCACAACAUACGGAACAACAUACUUUGUCUAAGCUAAAAAUCCAUGUAAAUUGCAGAUGCUUUUGUUAACACCAGUGUGUUGUUUACCUUGUACCCACGGUCCGGAUUUCAAGCUGCAGAAGGACUGUGACUGUUCCUUAAAGUCUCUGCCCUCGCAGAAUCUGUAGCCUUCAGGAUACCCCGAGUGCCUUACAGGGCUUGAACACCGACACCAGAAGUCAAAAAGGAGAGUGUGCCCAAGUGUGGGUCUGGAGGCACUGACGCAUUUGCCGACACUCACCGUCAUCCCAUCCUUGAAACCUAAGGGGAGUGUGUUUUAACACAGUAAUGGAGUUUAAGUUUAGGCUCAGGAAACUCAUAUUGUGAAUAUAGGUAUCAAAUCAUAUAUUUGUUUACUGUAUAUUUUUUAAAAAGCUUUAUUGUAAAUUUAUGCAAAAACUAAUCGGGCCUGUUUUCUUACGGCAGCAUGGCGGGCAGUGUGUGCAUUCUCUGAGGCAGUCCCUUCAAAGCACCCUCUAACCCCGUGACAUUCUGUUCAGUGCUAAGCAGUAUUCACAGGCCUAACAUAGGUUUGUAUGGUGAUCUACUACAAGAUUUUACAAAUAUUUUUGUAUUGUGAUUCCUAUGAUAUAUACCAGAGAAUUUUUACUCAUUUGUAAAUUAUUGUACAGUUUUAAUAAAAAAAAGUUUUAAAUCUUA